AAAGGGGAUGACACCAAGAGAUGUGCAAAGAAUCUGAAGAAUUCACCUGAAAAGGAUACAACCUCCUCCUGGAAGGCAGAGGAGUAAAUAGGGAAUUGGAAAUUAAUUCCUUAUUUCUGCACAUGCACAGAAUCUGGGCCCAGGUGACUUAUGGAACCUUUAUAGAGACCACGGUGACUGACACUCAUGGGAAAGGGGGUAGAGGGGCAAGAACUGACUGUUCAUCAAAAAUUAUUAGAUGAGUGUGUCCACGACACCAGGAGAUAUGUUGAAUCAUGGACAGGGACCAGCAUAUCCACUAAGCUCUAUAUAUCUUGAUGGUGCAGGAUCCAAGUGGGAUGGAACAACCAAUUCCUGCCCAUCCUCCUGCUCAAUAAUACAUGUGCUCAGAAUCUGUUCAUAAUGCAUGGUGAUGGAGUCUCACUCUAUUGCCAAGCUGGAGUGCAGUGGUGCGAUCUCGGCUCACUGCAACCUCUGCCUCCCGGGUUCAAGCAAUUCUCCUGCCUCAGCCUUCCGAGUAGUUGGGACUACAGGCACGCACCGUCACGCCUGGCUAAUUUUUUGUAUUUUGGUAGAGACGGGGUUUCACCAUGUUGGCCAGGAUGGUCUCAAUCUCCUGACCUCGUGAUCCACCCGCCUCAGCCUCCCAAAGUGCU
rnacentral:lncRNA from 10 species